rnacentral:rRNA from 1 species
ACACUGUCUGAACUCAACUGAUACUCCACCUUUAGAUGAAGCCACGCCAAACCUGAUCAGUACCACAUCAAGAAAAGGUCGGACUCAAUCAGAACAAAGCAGAAUUGCAGUCAAUCCAACAGAAAUGCUCACAUAAAACUGAUCCACACAACAACUUACAUCUUUACCGAUUAAAAUAAAAGGCUGAAGAACAUGGGUGAUUCUCAACUUCAGGACACAAAAUCUCCAACUCUUUACCACACAAAUACUUACUGAUUAAAGUCACAAGAUGGUGAGAGAUGGUUUUUCGACCAAAAGACAGCCCCGUCGAGAGAUUAAUUCACCGUGUCGAUUUUUAUUUAAAUUCUGAUCGAUCAAUCUUCAAACUGAUCUUAAAGAAUAUUCUUGACCAAAAUUCUAUCUGCUCGUGAGGGUUAUUACAGUCGGGGGCAUUCGUAUUUCAUAGUCAGAGGUGAAAUUCUUGGAUUUAUGAAAGACGAACAACUGCGAAAGCAUUUGCCAAGGAUGUUUUCAUUAAUCAAGAACGAAAGUUGGGGGCUCAAAGAUGAUCAGAUACCGACCAGGGAUCAACGGAUGUUGCUUUUAGGACUCCGCUGGCACCUUAUGAGAAAUCAAAGUUUUUGGGUUCCGGGAGGAGUAUGGUCGCAAGGCUGAAACCUAAAGGAAUUGACGGAAGGGCACCACUAGGAGUGGAGCCUGCGGCUUAAUUUGACUCAACACGGGGAAACUUACCAGGUCCAGACAUAGUAAGGAUUGACAGACUGAGAGCUCUUUUUUGAUUCUAUGGGUGGUGGUGCAUGGCCGUUCUUAGUUGGUGGAGCGAUUUGUCUGGUUAAUUAUGUUAACGAAUGAGACCUCAGCCUGCUAACUAGCUACGUGGAGGCAUCCCUUCACGGCCGGCUUCUUAGAGGGACUAUGGCCGUUUAGGCCAAGGAAGUUUGAGGCAAUAACAGGUCUGUGAUGCCCUUAGAUGUUCAACGAAGUUCACACCUUGGCCGACAGGCCCGGUAAUCUUUGAAAUUUCAUCGAUGGGGAUAGAUCAUUGCAGUUGUUGGUUUUCAACGAGGAAUUCCUAGUAAGCGCCGAGUCAUCAGCUCGUUGACUACUUACGUCCCUGCCCCCCUUUGUACACACCGCCCGCCGCUCCUACAGAUUGAAUGAUCCGGUGAAGUGUUCGAUCGCUGAGACGUGGGUGGUUUGCCAUCUGGCGACGUCGCGAGAAGUCCACUAAACCUUAUCAUUUAAAGGAAGGAGAAGUUGUAACAAGGUUUCCGUAGGUGAACCUGCAGAAG